GACGAACGCUGGCGGCGUGCUUAACACAUGCAAGUCGAACGGAAAGGCCCUGCUUUUGUGGGGUGCUCGAGUGGCGAACGGGUGAGUAACACGUGAGUAACCUGCCCUUGACUUUGGGAUAACUUCAGGAAACUGGGGCUAAUACCGGAUAGGAGCUCCUGCUGCAUGGUGGGGGUUGGAAAGUUUCGGCGGUUGGGGAUGGACUCGCGGCUUAUCAGCUUGUUGGUGGGGUAGUGGCUUACCAAGGCUUUGACGGGUAGCCGGCCUGAGAGGGUGACCGGCCACAUUGGGACUGAGAUACGGCCCAGACUCCUACGGGAGGCAGAAGUGGGGAAUAUUGCACAAUGGGCGGAAGCCUGAUGCAGCAACGCCGCGUGCGGGAUGACGGCCUUCGGGUUGUAAACCGCUUUCGCCUGUGGCGAAGCGUGAGUGACGGUAAUGGGUAAAGAAGCACCGGCUAACUACGUG
rnacentral:rRNA from 1 species